rnacentral:rRNA from 1 species
CUCAGUUCAGAUCGUAGGCUGCAACUCGCCUACGUGAAGGAGGAAUCGCUAGUAAUCGCAGGUCAGCAUACUGCGGUGAAUACGUUCCCGGGCCUUGUACACACCGCCCGUCACACCAUGGAAGUUGGCCACGCCCGAAGCCGUUACUCCAACCCUCGGGAGGAGGACGUCGAAGGUGGGGCUGAUGACUGGGGUGAAGUCGUAACAAGGUAUCCGUACCGGAGGGUGCGGAUGGAUCACCUCCUAA